UACGUAGGUGGCAAGCGUUGUCCGGAUUUACUGGGCGUAAAGAGCGCGCAGGCGGUCGUGCAAGUCGAAUGUGAAAGCCCCCGGCUCAACUGGGGAGGGUCAUUCGAUACUGUUCGACUCGAAGGCAGGAGAGGGAAGUGGAAUUCCGGGUGUAGUGGUGAAAUGCGUAGAUAUCCGGAGGAACACCAGUGGCGAAGGCGACUUUCUGGCCUGUUCUUGACGCUGAGGCGCGAAAGCUAGGGGAGCAAACGGG
rnacentral:rRNA from 1 species